rnacentral:snRNA from 1 species
AUAUUUUAAUUUCCGGUGUGACUUCAGUUAGUAACUUGCACAGAAGCCUGCUCAUCCGUUGCACUCGGAUGUGCUGACCCCAAAUGUGGGAAAUUCGACUGCGUGGUUUGUGGCAGUGGAGGGCUGUGUUCGCACUCUCCCCUG